GAGAAUAAGGUUAUUGGUAACCAACCAGGCUCAUAAUCUGGCUCGUAUAGGUUCGAUUCCUAUUAUUCUUU
rnacentral:tRNA from 1 species